rnacentral:rRNA from 1 species
UACGGAGGAUGCAAGCGUUAUCCGGAAUGAUUGGGCGUAAAGCGUCCGCAGGUGGCUGUGUAAGUCUGCUGUUAAAGAGUCUAGCUCAACUAGAUACAAGCAGUGGAAACUACACGGCUAGAGUACGUUCGGGGUAGAGGGAAUUCCCGGUGUAGCGGUGAAAUGCGUAGAGAUCGGGAAGAACAUCGGUGGCGAAAGCGCUCUACUGGACCGCAACUGACACUCAGGGACGAAAGCUAGGGGAGCGAAUGGG